GACGAACGCUGGCGGCGCGCUUAACACAUGCAAGUCGAGCGAUGAAAUCUUAACAGAACCCUUCGGGGCGAAGAUAAGACGGAUUAGCGGCGGACGGGUGAGUAACACGUGAGUAACCUGCCUUUUACACAGGGAUAGCCUCGGGAAACCGGGAUUAAAACCUGAUGAAACUAUCAAAUCACAUGAUUAAGAAAGUUAAAACUCCGGUGGUAAAAGAUGGACUCGCGUCCCAUUAGCUAGUUGGUGAAGG
rnacentral:rRNA from 1 species